rnacentral:lncRNA from 1 species
AUGGGGCAGUUAUGGGGCGGCUGUGGGGUACAGGUGUGUCUAUGGGGCAGUUAUGGGGUGGCUAUGGGGUGUGAAGUGUGGUUAUGGGGCGGCUAUGGGGCACAGAGGCGGUUCUGGGGUGGGUGUGGGGCAGCUGUGGGUCACAGGGGCAGUUGUGGGUCAGCUGUGGGGUACAGGGGUGGCUAUGGGGCAGUUAUGGGGCAGCUGUGGGAUACAGGGGUGGCUAUGGGGCAGCUGUGGGGCAUAGGGGCAGUUAUGGGGCAGUUAUGGGGCGGCUAUGGGGUGUGAAGCGUGGUUAUGGGGCAGCUAUGGGGCACAGAGGCGGUUCUGGGGUGAGUGUGGGGCAGCCGUGGGUCACAGGGGCAAUUAUGGGGCAGCUGUGGGGCACAGGAGUGGCUAUGGGGCAGUUAUGGGGUGGCUAUGGGGUGUGAAGUGUGGUUAUGGGGCAGCUAUGGGGCACGUGGAUGACUUAUGGUGCGACUGUGGGACAUAGGGGCGGCUAUGGGGCGGCUAUGGGGCACAGAGGCGGUUCUGGGGUGGGUGUGGGGCAGCCGUGGGUCACAGGGGCAGUUAUGGGGCGGGUGUGGGGUACAGGGGUGACUAUGGGGCAAUUAUGGGGCGGCUGUGGGAUACAGGAGUGGCUAUGGGGUGGCAGUUAUGGGGUGGCCGUGGGGUGUGGUGUGUGGUUAUGGGGCAGCUAUGGGGCACAGAGGCGGUUCUGGGGUGGCUGUGGGGCAGCCGUGGGUCACAGGGGCAGUUAUGGGGUGGGUGUGGGGUACAGGAGUGGC